rnacentral:tRNA from 1 species
GUCCCUAUAGUUCAAUGGAAAGAACAGGAGCCUCCGGAGCUCCAGAUGCAGGUUCGAGUCCUGCUAGGGACA